AGAGUUUGAUCAUGGCUCAGAUUGAACGCUGGCGGCAUGCCUUACACAUGCAAGUCGAACGGCAGCACGGGGGCAACCCUGGUGGCGAGUGGCGAACGGGUGAGUAAUAUAUCGGAACGUGCCCUAGAGUGGGGGAUAACGUAGCGAAAGUUACGCUAAUACCGCAUACGAUCUACGGAUGAAAGUGGGGGAUCGCAAGACCUCAUGCUCGUGGAGCGGCCGAUAUCUGAUUAGCUAGUUGGUGGGGUAAAGGCCUACCAAGGCAUCGAUCAGUAGCUGGUCUGAGAGGACGACCAGCCACACUGGGACUGAGACACGGCCCAGACUCCUACGGGAGGCAGCAGUGGGGAAUUUUGGACAAUGGGGGCAACCCUGAUCCAGCAAUGCCGCGUGAGUGAAGAAGGCCUUCGGGUUGUAAAGCUCUUUUGUCAGGGAAGAAACGGUUGUUCCUAAUACGGAUGACUAAUGACGGUACCUGAAGAAUAAGCACCGGCUAACUACGUGCCAGCAGCCGCGGUAAUACGUAGGGUGCGAGCGUUAAUCGGAAUUACUGGGCGUAAAGCGUGCGCAGGCGGUUGUGCAAGACAGAUGUGAAAUCCCCGGGCUUAACCUGGGAAUUGCAUUUGUGACUGCACGGCUAGAGUGUGUCAGAGGGGGGUAGAAUUCCACGUAGCAGUGAAAUGCGUAGAUAUGUGGAGGAAUACCGAUGGCGAAGGCAGCCCCCUGGGAUAACACUGACGCUCAUGCACGAAAGCGUGGGGAGCAAACAGGAUUAGAUACCCUAGUAGUCC
rnacentral:rRNA from 1 species